rnacentral:sRNA from 1 species
AUUCUUUUCCUAAUUCCCAGAAAAGGCACAGGAUGAGCAGCAAUAGUGUAAGUUUCCCCUGCACUGUCUAUCCAAUGUGCCUCAAACCUGACCCAAAGAGAGGAAAGGGUU